AGAAGUUUAGGAUAGUAAGUCCAAGAGCCUUCAAAGCCCUGAGCAAACCCAUAAAAGUUUAACUUCUG
rnacentral:tRNA from 2 species